UUUCACGAAGUGACGGUAGUGAAAAAAAAUUGCAUUCACUUUGCGUUACGAUUUUCCUCACUACUGUCACUUCGUGAAAACAAGGACGAUUUGUCUUCCUGGUAUAUAAUCGAGAACAAAACCUUGAUAACAAGUACAAUAAUUGUUUUAUGGUGAAGGAAAAAAAAAGGAAGAAUAUUCAGUGUAGUUCAAGUACAAAUAAAGAUCUCACAUUAAAGGUAAUACUGUUUGUGAAGAGAAAAAUUAAUGUUUCUUUUUAAAUGUCUAUUUCUCAUCUACAGUCUCUGUAAUGUCUUACCGGUAGUUAUAAUGGAUAAUGUGGUAGCAGGUUUAGACUGCUGCUUUAUAAUGAUGUACAUAAUGGAUGAAGGCAAAUUGCAAUCAAGGCUUUAAUACAUGUAGCUGUGUUUCAACUAAUAGUGAAAAUCUAAUCAACCUCGAGGAUCAUAUAAGGAAAUAAAACUCUUUCUCUGCUGUGCAAUAUCUAAUCCAUGUCAGUUGUGUCAAAAAGAGAUGAUAAUUGUGUUAAUUACCAGUACAUGGAGAUAUGUACAAUUAAAUGUGUUAUUAUGUUUCAAAGAAAUGUAAUUUGUAUUAAUAAGGAACUUGACUUCUCAGGUUUUACCAAAUCAAAUUGAAUAUGAUGAACUAGGGUUACUAAUGCA